rnacentral:rRNA from 1 species
UACGGAGGGUGCGAGCGUUGUCCGGAAUCAUUGGGCGUAAAGGGCGCGUAGGUGGCCUGGUAAGUCUGUGGUGAAAGCGCGGGGCUCAACCCUGCGUCGGCCGUGGAUACUGCUAGGCUUGAGCACUGUAGAGGCAGGCGGAAUUCCGGGAGUAGCGGUGGAAUGCGUAGAGAUCCGGAAGAACACCAGGGGCGAAGGCGGCCUGCUGGGCAGUUGCUGACACUGAGGCGCGACAGCGUGGGGAGCAAACAGG